AUUGCACGCUGGCGGCAGGCCUAACACAUGCAAGUCGAGCGAGCGGCGGACGGGUGAGUAAUGUAUGGGGACUGCCUGAUAGAGAUGGAUAAAUACUGGCACCGGUGGCUAAUACCGCAUACUAUCGGAUAACCCAUAUGGGAUUGGUUAGUAGGGGUGGUAAAUGCUCACCUAGGAGACGAUCUCUAGCUGGUCUGACAGGAGGAUCAGCCACACUGGGCAUGAGACCCGGCCCAGACUCCUACGGAGGCAGCAGUGGGGAAUAGUGCACAAUGGGCUCAAGCCUGAUGCAGCCAUGCCGCGUGUAGUAAGAAGGCCUUAGGGUUGUAAAGUACUUUCAGCGGGGAGGCGUUACCCGCAGAAGAAGCACCGGCUAACUCCGUGCCAGCAGCCGCGGUAAUUC
rnacentral:rRNA from 1 species